ensembl:lncRNA
AUAAUAGAUGCCUCUGAGCAAGUGGAAGAGAUUCACACCAGAGUGCCAGAAAGGGAGGAAACACACUUUGUUUUUGGUGGGAUAAAUGUUCUGAAAUUACUUGUUCUACAGCUGGGAUUGAGCCUCCGUGGUGGCUCAGAUGGUAAAGAAUCCACUUGUAAUGUGGGUCGAGACCUAGGUUUGAUCCCUGUUGGGAAGAUCCCCUGGAGGAGGGCAUGGCAACUCUCUCCAGUAUUGCCUGGAGAAUUCCACGGACAGAGGAACCUGGCGGGCUACACAGUCCAUGGGGUCGCAGAGAGUCAGACACAACUAAGCGACUAAGCGCACAGCACAGCACAGCUGGAAUUGCUUCUUCCGAACUAUUGUUAUUAAAUAAGAAUACAAAGAUUCUGUGACCGGGAAAAUUUCUCAUCAGGGUACUCCAGGCCUGGGAAAUCCAGACAAGCAUGUGUAGCCUUACCUCCAUCCCUUCAGUUUUUUUUUUUUUUUUUUUUCUUUUUUAAUUGGAGGAUAAUUGCUUUACAAUAUUGUGUUGGUUUCUGCCAUACAUCAAUACGAAUCAGCCAUAGGUAUAAUACAUCCGCCCCUUCCUUGAACCUCCCUCCCACCUCUCACCCCAUCCCACCCCUCUAGGUUGUCACAGAGCACCAGGUUUGAACUCCUUCAGUUCAUUUACUCUUGGGAAUCUUGACCUCCAUCACUGACUGGCUGAUUCCUUUCCAGGUCUGUACUUAUAUGUCCUACCCCUGUUUGUGGGGUAGGAUUCUGUCUUUGCCACAGGGGCCACUUUCUCCCUCCUUUCUGAGGAAAAACAAGUGGUAAGGUCUGAUGAAGACGGGCCCAGGGAAGGCAGACCAUGGCAUAAGAGCAGCUCCGGCCGUCCGAUGGCAUCACAGAAGGACCCAUACCCCAGAGCUGACCUAGGGGCAUUCAGAAGCCUAAAGGCGAGACACUACAAGAAGGACAAGAGUAUAACCAAUCUCAGUUCUCUCCAUCUCCUCCUCCCUUGCAGCAAGGAAGACCUAAGACUGAGCCUCUGCUGUGCCAACUGCUUGUGUAGGGCCCUUGGUAUCCACACUUGGCUCUGGUUGGGAAGGAGGUCCUAAGGUUUGACCUGGGAAAUCUGAGCAGACUGUUCCUGGGAUACAUAGAUUCAGUUCAGUUCAGUUCAAUCACUUAGUCAUGUCCCACUCUUCAUGACCCCAUGGACCACAGCACGGUAGGCUCCCCUGUCCAUCCCCAACUCUCAGAGCUUGCUCAAACUCAUGUCCGUCGAGUCCGUGAUGCCAUCCAACUAUCUCAUCCUCUGUCAUCCUCUUUCUUCCUUCAGUCUUUCCCAGCGUCAGGGUCUUUUCUAAUGUGAAGUCAGCUCUUCACAUCAGGUGUCCAAAAAAAGUAUUGGAGCUUCAGCUUCAGCAUCAGCAUCAGUCCUUCCAAUGAAUAUUCAGGAUUGACUUCCUUUAGAAUUGAUUGAUUUGAUCUCCUUGCAGUCUGAGGGACUCUCAAGAGUCUUCUCCAACACCACAGUUCAAAAGCAUCAAUUCUUCAGUGCUCAGCCUUCUUUAUGGUCCAGCUCUCACAUCCAUACAUGACUACUGGAAAAAUCACAGCUUUGACUAGACGGACUUUUGUUGGCAAGCUUUUUAAUAUGCUGUCUAGGUUGGUCAUAGCUUUUCUUUCAAGGAGCAAGUAUCUUUUAAUUUCAUGGCUGCAGUCAACAUCAGCAGUGAUUUUGGAGCCCAAGAAAAUAAAAUCUCUCACUGUUUCCAUUGUUUCCCCAUCUAUUUGCCAUGAAGCGAUGGGACCGGAAGUCAUGAUGGGACUGGAUGCCAUGAUCUUUGUUUUUUGAAUGCUGAGUUUUAAGCCAGCUUUUUCACCCUCCUCUUUCACAUUCAUCAAAAGACUCUUUAGUUCCUCUUUGCUUUCUGCCAUAAGGGUGGUUUCAGCUGCAUAUCUGAGAUUAUUGAUAUUUCUCCCAGCAAUCUUGAUUCCAACUUGUGCUUCAUCCAGCCCAGCAUUUUGCAUGAUGUACUCUGCAUAGAAGUUAAAUAAGCAGGGUGACAAUAUACAGCACUGAUGUACUCCUUUCCCAAUUUGGAACCAGUGUUUUGUUCCAUGUCUAAUUCUAACUGUUGCUUCUUGACCUGCAUACAGAUUUUUCAGGAGGCAGGUAAGGUGGUCUGGUAUUCCCAUCUCUUUAAGAAUUUUCCACAGUUUGUUGUGAUCCACACAGAUAAACGCUUUAGUGCAGUCAAUGAAGCAGACGUUUUUUCUAGAAUUCUCUUUUUCUAUGACUCAACAGAUGUUGGCAAUUUGAUCUCUGGUUCCUCUGCCUUUUCUAAAUCCAGCUUGAACAUCUGGAAGUUCUCCGUUCAAAUACUACUGAAGCUUUGCUUGGAGGAUUUUGAGCAUUACUUUGCUAGCGUGUGACAUGAGUGCAAUUGUGCGGUACUGUGAACAUUCUUUGGCAUUGUCUUUGAGACUGGAAUGAAAAAUGACCUUUUCCAGUUCUAUGGGCAUUGCUAAGUUUUCCAAAUUUGCUGGCAUAUUGAAUGCAGCACUUUCAUAGCAUUAUCUUUAUGAUUUUAAAUAGCUCAGCUGGAAUUUUAUCACCUCCACUAGCUUGCUUUGUUAGUAGUGAUGCUUCCUAAGGCCCACUUCACUUCACAUUCCAGGAUGUCUGGCUCUAGGUGAGUGAUCAUACCAUAGUGGUUAUCUGGGUCCUUAAGAUCUUUUUUGUAUAGUUCUUCUGUGUAUUCUUGCCACCUCUUCUUAGUAUCUUCUGCUUCUGUUGGGUCCAUACCAUUUCUGUCCUUUAUUGUGCCCAUCUUUGCAUGAAAUGUUCCCUUGAUAUUUCUAAUUUUCUUGAGCUCUUAAUCUUUCCCAUUCUAUUCUUUUCCUCUAUUUCUUUGCAUUGAUCACUUAGGAAGGCUUUCUCUCUCCUUGCUAUUCUUUGGAACUCUGCAUUCAGAUGGAUAUAUCUUUCCUUUUCUCCUUUGCUUUUCACUUCUCUUCUUUUUUCAGCUAUUUGUAAGGCCUUCUCAGAAAACCAUUUUGCCUUUUUAAAUUUCUUUUUGGGUUUGGUUUUGAUCACUUCUUCCUGUACAAUGUUACACAUCUCCAUCCAGAGUUCUUCAGGCACUCUAUCUGUCAGAUCUAAUCACUUAAAUCUAUUGUCACUUCCACUGUAUAAUCGUAAGGGAUUUGAUUUAGGUCAUACCUGAAAGGUCUAGGGGCUUCCCUGGUGGAUUCUUUACCAGCUGAGCCACAGGGGAAGCCAGCAAAAAUUAUUAAUUAGUGUUUAAAACUAUAGGUGAAAAGACUGGAGACAACUGUACAUUCAUACAGCGCCAAGUAACACUAUCAGUUUAUAGUCUUGAAGCCAAAAAUGUAAGUGUAUGUUGGAGGGAUCAGACUGUCAUCACUCAUUUCCUGGAAACCAUCCUGGUAUUGCUAACCCAUAGACUAGUUCUGGUGUGAGGCAAAUACAUAGCCCAACCUAGCAUAUAUUCUCCCCACCCCAAAAGAAGUAUUAGAUAUAACCUGCAGUUUACAGGAAAUAGAGGGAGCAAACUAAUGGACACUAGGAGGUGAGGCAGUCUGCAGGGGAACUUGCCUGCUCUCUUCAGCAAGUCAGUAGAUAUAUAAUUUUAAGCCUAAACUGCUAGAUUGAAGAGACUUAAGGUUCACAAUGGGUUUCCCAGGUGGCUCAGCGGCAAAGAAUCUGCCUGCAGUGCAGGAGAUGCAGGAGACUCGGGCUGGAUCCCUGGGUCAUGAAGAUCCCCUGGAGGAGGGCAUGGCGACUCACUCCAGUAUUCUUGCCUGGAGAAUCCCAUGGGCAGAAGAGCCUGAUGGGCUAUAGUCUAUAGGGCUGCAGAGUCAGACACGACUGAAGCAACUGAGCACAUGCACAAGGCACACAAUAGCAAGAAAACACAUAGUCCUGGAUUCCCUACUGGUUUAAACAAAUUGCUACAAAAGGAAUUUGUGGUCAACUGGAAAUGUUUUAAUAUGGAGAGGGUAUUAGAUGAGGUGAAAAUGUACUGAGACGGAAAGGUCAAAAUCAUUAAUAAAAUACCAGUUCCAAAACCACAUGUGCAGGGUAAUCACAUUUUGCUUUUAAAAUGUCUACAUAUCUAAGAAUAAAAAAGACCUGAGAGGAUAUGCAGUAAGGUGUUAACGGUGGUGCUCUCUGAGAGGU